UAACCAUAGGGAACUAAUUGACAAUAUCCUAACCGGGGAUCUAAAUUACCCAUUUUGCGUUUAGAUCUCCCUUGAUCUACUAGAUACCCCUUUUAUGGCGGUAAUUCAAAGUUACUCAACUCUCUUAAAGUCCUAUUAGUCUUAAUAUCACUAAUUAUCACAUACAAGUAUACAACUAUAAAAACACAAUAAACACAUACAAAUUUAUAUUUAAUGGAGUAAUUAUUAUGAUUUAUAAGUCAUGAAAUCAUGAUCAAAAGUUAGUUAUCUCACCACUGAUUCAUUAAAAUGCAGCAUUACGGUGUGUACAACCGUGUAGACUUGUAAUGUGUUAGCCUAUAUUAUUAUAAUUUAAUAUUUAUACAACAAUCAGUGGUGUAGUUGCCCGGGUGGUUUGUUGGGUGUUUAACCCCCUACCCGUUUAUUUCAAACUGUUAUAAUCGGAACCGAUAAAUAUUCAUACGUUAGAGCUGCCGUUGGAGAAAAUUAGUUAAACAACUGAUGCUCUGCAAUUGAUUAGUUGAGGGCAGGGGGGUGAGCAAGUAGGUCACGACACCAUUUACGUUUUAAACGUCUGGGUGGGUUACCAGGAAUAGUAUGGACUGCAAGAUUACGUAUUAGCGGGUUGCUAUUUGAGGAAAGACGAUUGUGGAAGCGUUGGUAAUGAUCUAUAGCUUCUUCAUGUACCAGUUUUAUUUUUAGAUCAGUGUGAAUAGUGUGGUUUGAGACGUAAGGAGGAGCGUUUAGAAGUUUCCUGAGUGCUAUAAUUACAAUUUAAAAUAUUAUCUUCUGUAAUGGAAACUUACUGCUGAACCUCAUAAUAGAUACGAUGAACGGCGACUUGUAGAUUGUAAUCGUUUAUUUCAGUCAUUUCAAAAUUCUACAUAGCGGACAGCGGUAAUAUGGCCUGUGUUCAUUUGGAGGCAUUCUUAUAUAGCUUUCAUGACAAGGUCCACACAGGCCUUGAUGUAAACAUGGAUAAGCUAUUACUGUUGGCGGACUGUACAGGCAUAUGUAGCAUGUUUCUUCUACUAUUGAUAAUUACUACUUACAUGUCAAAUCUUCACGUUCAAUGUGAUUAACUAAUGGUACCACAGGCUGUUCGUUAAAUGAAACUUCUUCAUCUGAAUAAUCUGCAUCAAGAUUAUCAAAAACUAAAGACAAUAGAUUUAUUCGUUAGUUUUUUUAUUUGUAAAUCUGUAUAAGUAAUAUUAUAAUGAAAAAUCAUACGAUCUCGA